GACGCGUGCGGCGGCGAUGCCGGAAAUCUGCUGGAUCGUGCGGGCGAUUUCGCCCUCGAGCGCACGAACGCGGGUC
rnacentral:sRNA from 1 species